rnacentral:rRNA from 1 species
CCUACGGGCGGCAGCAGUAGGGAAUCUUCCACAAUGGGCGAAAGCCUGAUGGAGCAACGCCGCGUGGGUGAAGAAGGUCUUCGGAUCGUAAAACCCUGUUGUUAGAGAAGAAAGUGCGUGAGAGUAACUGUUCACGUUUCGACGGUAUCUAACCAGAAAGCCACGGCUAACUACGUGCCAGCAGCCGCGGUAAUACGUAGGUGGCAAGCGUUAUCCGGAUUUAUUGGGCGUAAAGGGAACGCAGGCGGUCUUUUAAGUCUGAUGUGAAAGCCUUCGGCUUAACCGGAGUAGUGCAUUGGAAACUGGGAGACGUGAGUGCAGAAGAGGAGAGUGGAACUCCAUGUGGAGCGGUGAAAUGCGUAGAUAUAUGGAAGAACACCAGUGGCGAAGGCGGCUCUCUGGUCUGUAACUGACGCUGAGGUUCGAAAGCGUGGGUAGCAAACAGGAUUAGAUACCCCUGUAGUC